rnacentral:rRNA from 1 species
GGUGAACGCUGGCGGCGUGCUUAAGACAUGCAAGUCGAACGGUAGUCUUCGGACUGUAGUGGCGCACGGGUGAGUAACGCGUAACUGACCUACCCCAAAGUCGCGGAUAACGAUUCGAAAGAAUCGCUAAUACGUGAUGUGCUGUCAGAUUGUGUUCUGCCAGUAAAGAUUGAUUGCUUUGGGAUGGGGUUGCGUUCCAUCAGCUAGUUGGUGGGGUAAAGGCCCACCAAGGCGACGACGGAUAGCCGGCCUGAGAGGGUGGCCGGCCACAGGGGCACUGAGACACGGGUCCCACUCCUACGGGAGGCAGCAGUUAGGAAUCCUCCACAAUGGGCGAAAGCCUGAUGGAGCGAUGCCGCGUGAGGGAUGAAGGUCUUCGGAUCGUAAACCUCUGAAUCAGGGACGAAAGACACUUCGGUGGGAUGACGGUACCUGAGUAAUAGCACCGGCUAACUCCGUGCCAGCCGCCGCAGUAAUAC